CAGAUAAAACAAAAACAGAUAAGCAUGAAAACAAAUACAUUGUGUCACUUACAUAUCAGUUUAGUUGCCAGCAUUGAAUACUUGUGCUAUCUUCUUUCACCAACUUCAGCUUGAAAGAUGUUCUCAAUUUUUUCGAAAGCUACGCACAUAUGUACAGAUACACGCCCACAAAAGAGGUGUGGUAUGAAUAAACAACUGAAAUGGAAAAGAUGGGCCAGUUACCUGUUUC